CAGAGGGGGCAAGCGUUAUUCGGAAUUAUUGGGCGUAAAGGGCGCGUAGGCGGCUUGGCAAGUGGAAGGUGAAAUCCCUCGGCUUAACCGAGGAACUGCCCUCCAAACUGCUUUGCUUGAGGCCGGGAGAGGUGAGUGGAAUUCCCAGUGUAGCGGUGAAAUGCGUAGAUAUUGGGAGGAACACCAGUGGCGAAGGCGGCUCACUGGACCGGUUCUGACGCUGAUGCGCGAAAGCGUGGGGAGCAAACGGGAUUAGAUACCCCGGUAGUCCACGCCGUGAACGAUGAGUGCUUGGUGUAGCGGGUAUCGACCCCUGCUGUGCCGAAGUCAACACAUUAAGCACUCCGCCUGGGGAGUACGGUCGCAAGGCUG
rnacentral:rRNA from 1 species